UGUGUGUGUGUGUGUGUGUGUGUGUGUGUGUGUGUGUGUGAUAUCAGAUGGGUACUCGGCCGAUGCACCAGUCCAGGUGUGUGGAUGGGACAGGUCUAGU